GGGACCGAGGCGAGCUCGCCGUCCUCUCUCAACACCUGAGGAAACUGGCGGAAAAGUUUGAGAACGAAAAGUCCAAUCGUCUUUCAGCUUCCGCCCUCCCUAUGACACUCCAGCCACGACAAGACCAGGAGGCUGGAGUAAGGAAGAAGGAUACAACGGGACAAAGGAGAGAGUACCCCUGAGGCUGGGCAGGGGAGGAAGCAGAGAAAAGCAAGGGGUGAGCCUUGCCUGGCCUUCCUUGGCUCCUGGCAA